CCCCGCCCUUCAACCCGCCGAGGACCGUUCCCACAGCCCAUUGGGCCUCUAGCUCCUUACUUAAGUCCCAAUCGUGGCGCAGGGCCGCGGCUGGCUAGUUUCCAUUGGCUGUCUUGCAUCACGGUUACCGGGGCGACAGGGGCCUCAUUUGCAUAGACCUCCUUGAUUGGCUAAGGGAGAGCAGGGUCUUUGGGAGGUGGGGCAAAAGCCUUUCCUUCUCUCCCACGGAAAGCCACGCCUUGUCCAAGCUCCGCCCGGUCCCCGCCCGCACGCCGGGCGGGGGCUGCUGACCUGGGCAGGCGCUCAGCGCCCCGCAGACUCAGUGUCAAUCCGGUCUGGAGCGCAAGUUUCGCUUUUAGAAAUUGUCAAGGUGACCAAGGGGACACUUGCGGGAAUUCUCUUUCCUUUGGCCAGUCAGUGUAAUAGAUGAGCAAAAUCUGGAGAUUCUCCCAAAUAUGUUCCAAAGGCAAGUUGGACCACGCGGACGAUGCCUGGCAGGUUUCUAAUCCGCCAAGCAGUAAUCCGAAGAAGUACACGCUUCCCACGAUGACGUCUUGCUCCCAGCAAACGCUGCACGCCCAGGCACCACCAAGCGCUUUACAAUCUCGGUUUCCUACCAAGUUCUCUGACUAAAAGCAAACGCAACGACACAGACCUAUUCGGAAACAUUUUAAAAGAUUUUUCUUUUUC